AGAUUUUAAACUAAUGAAGAUGAAGAAGGACGAGGAGGAGGAAGAAGAGAAACUAUUACAGAUUGGUCUUACCUCAUGGAUCCUGAUUCCAGAAGUAUCAGGAGCUCUUUCAAGAAAUUAGAUGAUCCAUCACCACUGCCUUCAUCCAAACAGACUAUUUAAGGCUUUGACUGCCAUCUGUCAAUCAGAUGCAGAUCCAGUUCUCUGGGCAGCCCCGUUUGGUGUUGGACUCAUCUCUGCGGGCUGGCUCUUCCUUUCUGACACACUCUGCUGCAGCCGCUCUGGCAACAUCUCUUUCCCUGGAGACAGGAAUCCUUCCAAGGUUUAAGAUUAAGAAACUGCGGCUAUAACCAGGCAACAGUUCAAGAUCCUGCCACUGGUUACUGGUGGAUCUAGAAGUCAAUCUCACAUGAAAUAUGGAUAAAGGGAGAGACCCAGAGGAAACUUUUUGAGCGAUGCUGGCCCCCACAAGAGAAAGUAAUGAAGACCAAAGAGGUAUGUCUGGAAGACUUGGGUUUCCUUGGUGAGGAUACAACCAAAGCAUUGUGACUACCAUCCAAGUUGUGUGCUGUGUUGCUGUGGGUGAAGCUAACCAGGAACUACUGAUCAGUGAAAUUGGUUGCAACUGGGUGGAAGAGCUGCCCUGCUGGGAACUCCAACAAACGGCAACAUCACUCAAAGAAUGCAAGAUCCUGCUGUGAAACAAUACAAAGUGGCCUGCACUUGAAUGCCUGGCUCAGGUGAGAAGUCAUUUUAGGAGACUUGUGAAACUUCUGAAUUAUACUGGGUCCAUCCAUGGCUUUGCAGUUUAACAAGACUCAAGUUUGGAAGGUGUGUGGUCUGAACUGGCCUUUGCCAAAAUGUUCCAUGAAAAUCCACUUUAUAAAAAACAACCAUCCCAUUUUUUUUAGUUCUCCUUUGACAAUUUCCCAAUUUUACACAUAUCUCGUAUCAUAAGCAAACUCUAAGACAAAGUAAAUAUCAUAUUUGUGUGCAACUGCCUAACCCUAAAAUCACAAAUUAACUCUGUGAUCUUUGGUAGAAAUUGGUAAAGCAUAAAGGAGUUUAUCCCCAGCUGGUUGUAACUUAUGGUGCACUGUAGCAAUUCUAAGUCCCUAGGAAGCCUUUACGAUUCAUUUUUACACACUGCAUUUUCAAAUCAAGGGAGCUAAAGACACAUUUUGGUGAAGAGGGUCAGGUGAUCUGUGAGUUCACUUACUGCAAACCAUGAAUUUUCACUUAUAAGAACUGAAAGCUUCUUACUUGUGACUGCUGAGUUAUGAAUUGUUACAAAAAGUUUCACGUUGCAAGAGUUUACUGAAGAACCUAUUUCAUUAAUCUACUGCUAAAUCUUGGCAACAUUUAACAACAUAUCAAAGUUCCCACUAACCACAUGAACUUUGGGAAUUCCAAAAUUUUUAGGAAGACAGUACAUUUUGAGGCUUUCAUGGUUUUAACUGCUGUUGUUUUUUAGUUAUAAAUUGCUAUUAGUUUAGCACCAUCAUUCUCAAUGUAGUUUCUAGCAGUUGUUUUGGUUAAUUCUACAAUAUAUAGUGAUAUAUAUUUAUGUCAACAUAUCCACUCUUUGGUCUCUUUCCAGUCAAAGGGAAUGUGUAUAUUUGAUGCUUUCUUUUCAUCUUUAGAUUGGGAAACUGAGGAUCUCAGGAGUUGUAACUUGCCAAAACAUAAUUUUUUUUUUUCAUUUCUAAGCCUUUUUCAUGAAAACAUUACUACGUAAUUACAACCAAAAUAAAGCAAACUAUUCUGACUGGCCAAAGUCAUAAUUUGGACUUUGGAAAAGUCAUGUACAAGAUUGAACAACUCAGCACUAAUAUCAUGAUUUUCUUCUUUUUUUGCCGUAAGUGAAAGCUAUUGUACAAUAGCUAGAAUAUUAAAAAAAAAAACUUUAUUAUCAACUCCUUACCAGUUAUUUCAAAUAUAUAUUUUAUCAAAUAAGCAGUUUCCAGUACAAUUUUCUAAUCAACUUAUUGCACCUGUUAAAACAUAAAUCACUGCUAUUUUAUUUACAUUUGCUGUUAUUUCAUAUGGUCUCCCUGUAAUUCUUCCUUGGCAUUAAAAAAAGAAAGAAAGAAAGAAAGAAACAAGAGAAAUUGAUAGAACAAUAAAUGGAAGGGAAAUGUUUAGUGCACCUAACCUAAAAAUUCUAUUUGAAAAUUUCAGAAUUUAAGUUGUUCUACUUAUUUAUUUAUUUUGGGGAUGUGGGUGGGUUUUCUUUCUUGCUUGCUUGCUUUAUAUGUCUUUUCCUGAGGAAAUACUAGUUGUAGAGUUUCUGAUGUAUUCCAAGUCAUGACAAUUUAUUCAGGCAACUUUGGUACAUUUGCUACAUAUGUAGUCUUUUGAUUGAUCUUAAGUGCCUACCAGCUCAAUCGCAGACCUCAAAACUGACUAAUCACUGAGCCACAGCAUCUAAUCCCACCAUUCACAAAAUGGGUACUUUGAAAAGGUGAUAUUAAAUUUUGUGCUUCUGUGAACACCCCUUAUUGCAGAAGAUAAGAUUUUAAAGUGAAAGAGCCAAUGACUGUCUUGAAAUCAGACAUGUCUUAGUUUAAACCUCAGAUCUGCCCAUGGAGCUGCCAUGCAAUCUAUUUUAACCUCAGUUAUUUCUUAGGUACAAGGGGAUAAGAUCUACACAGAAAUAUUCCUUUAAAAGUAUG